UAGGGAAUCUUCCACAAUGGACGCAAGUCUGAUGGAGCAACGCCGCGUGAGUGAAGAAGGUUUUCGGACCGUAAAGCUCUGUUGUUGGUGAAGAAGGAUAGAGGUAGUAACUGGCCUUUAUUUGACGGUAAUCAACCAGAAAGUCACGGCUAACUACGUGCCAGCAGCCGCGGUAAUACGUAGGUGGCAAGCGUUGUCCGGAUUUAUUGGGCGUAAAGCGAGCGCAGGCGGAAGAAUAAGUCUGAUGUGAAAGCCCUCGGCUUAACCGAGGAAUUGCAUCGGAAACUGUUUUUCUUGAGUGCAGAAGAGGAGAG
rnacentral:rRNA from 1 species